CAUGUUAGAAGUAUUAAUUCUCUAUUUUGAAACUUUUUAUUUUCGCAGUAGCUUUUAAUUAAUUAUUUAUCUAUAGGAAAUCUUAGAAAAUUUAUAACUUCUACGUUUUAAUUCCGAUUUUCGUGAACUUUACGUUUGUGUGAUCGUAGCGCUGCGUAAUGUUCUAAUUAUAGCUUGUUUGCUUUGUGUAUGAUUGUCUACAUUGGUUUGCGUAUUGUUGAUUGAUGUUUGGGAAUAGACGGUGAGCCGUACGUUGGUGAGCAAGACCAGGCUUUUGACGACCCCCAGCAGGCCCAGGAGAGCUUUGAUCAAAGCAAGUAUAACUUGAGAUCAUCCUUGUUACCUAUACACUUAUAAAUACACAUAUAUAUCAUAUGCAUGUUUCCACCUUGUCGACCUUAGCAAAAUCAUAGAUGUUUGUUACCUGGAUUCCUUGCUACCUACUUGAUAUGCAUUUGGUACAGUUUUGCUAGUGCUUGAUAUAAUCCAUGAUCUUGUAAGAUGAUUAAUAGCUAUGCAAUGAACAUAAAAGGAUGACAAAUAACUAUAUGAGAUCUUGUAUGUACGUGAUCACCCGAGAUAACAGUGCAACCAUGAGGGCUAUAAUGGCUCUGCUUUAGCUCAGUACGAAGACCUUUUCUUGCUUGUUAGAGGUUACCCGUAAGGGCGCUAGAGGGGCUUGCCAACACGGGUAUAGUGCGAGCCUCUGUCCUUAUGUGUAUAGGCUACACGUCACUGUGUCAUUUGGAAAGGGGGCAUUUAUAUCUGCUCGCCUAGGAAACCUUGCGGCCCUAACAUGUUAGAUGAACUUUUGAAAGGCUUCAUAGUGAUCCCUGCUGACCUUCCUUGGUAGUAGGUUAAGAGGUCGACGGGCCUCGGGCGAAAGGGUAAAUCAUGACUCAUGGGUAAAGAUGUACAACCUCUGCAGAGUGUUAAAAACUAGUAUACUAGCCGAGCUCACGGUCAGGAGCGGCCUUGGGGACAUCUACAUUAAGAUGAUGAACUUGUUAUGUUAUUAUGUUCGUUUGAGUAUCGUUUAUGCUAUGAGUUAAUUAUGCUUACAAUUGAUCAUGUGAUUAUUGGAUUAUUUAUGCUACCUUGACAUUUGCUAUUUAUUUAUGAACAAGCUAUCCACUAUUAAAAGCUAAAUGCAGUCAAACCAGUGUUAGCUAUUUGAGCCUCAUUAACCCCUGGUUAUACUUGUUGAGUACGAUAUGUGCUCACUCUUGCAAUUUCCCAACACCCCAGGUUAUGAUGAUGUUUGGAAUGAGGACUAUCGUUAUGAGUACUAGGCUUGGAGUCAACCAGUCAACAGUGUCCCUGUGUGGAGCUUCCGUCGAGAGCGUUGUUCAUUCUUGUUCUCUUUAUUGUAUAAGACUAUGUGAUUUAUUAUGUUUUGCUAUAUAAUAAACACUACAAUGGUAUAUUUGAGUUUUGUCUACUUAUGUGUGCGACUAUUUCUGGGGCACAUGAGUCUUUUAAGCAUCCUAUUUUGUUUUUAAAAUAUGGGUUUGACAAAUUGGUAUCAGAGCUUUGUCGACUGUCAAACGCAAGCCUAGUUAGAAAUUUGCCAUCUUAAGGUUGUGAAAUUGCUAUGAAAUCCUUGUUCUACAAACCUUGAUAUUUUCCUAUAUACUAUAUCCUUGUCAUUGUUGAUCAUCUUCACCUUGUUGCUUAUUUUAAAGACUUGUUCUUAUCCCCACUCCUUGCUUGAUAUGCUUUUAGAACCUUAUCUUACCACUUUCUAGCGUUAGUGAAAUAGGAGUUGUAGGAUCUUUAGCCUUAAUAGGAAGAGAACGAUAGUACCGCAAGUUAAGUCAAUGCUUGAAGUGUGAACCUUUGAUGCUUGGUUUGGUUUGUUAUUAUGUUUAUGCUUGAUUUGGAUCUUUGUAAUGAGUGUAAUGAUCUUGUGGAAUUUUCUCCAUAAUUUCAUUUAGUUUAUAGGCCUAAGGUAUAAGGAGUAAUGAACUAAAUAGUGGGCUAUGGGUAAAAUUCUGUUUUUGUCCUUUGCUGUUUUCUGAAGCAGUCUACAAUGAUUCUGGUAUAAUUCAAAUUCUGUUUGUGCAAUAUUCAUCAAUUUUUUUUGGGAAUAAGUAGACUUUCAUAUAUUUCCAAUGCCGCAAGAAUGACAUUAUUAUCUAUUAUGAGCUGUGAGUUAUGCUAUUCAAAGUUGAGGUUUCUGUGCAGUCUGGAAUUCUGGAACAGUUUCGGUUAUGCCCAGUUGUUGGUUAAUUUAACGAUGGAAUCUGUUAAUAUGGUCUAAAUGAAAGUUGUAGAUAAUUUCUUUAUCUUUCCAAUGGCAUACAGAACUUAUCCUUUUGAAUUCUAGAACUUGAGAUAUGACUGAUUUUCUGAACUGCUGAUGUUGGAUGUUACCCAGAAAAAUUUCAGAUUCCAGUAUCUCUUGUAACUGUCAUGUUGGACGUUACUAAGACAUGAUUCUGUACCAUGAUGGAAUGCAGAUGGCAGCAAGAGGAAGAGGCAGAGGCAGGGGUCGUGGAAUGGGUGCCAAUGUUCCGGUUACUGCGGAAGAGCUCAUGCAAACUCAUAAUGAGAUGAUGCAUGUUUUCAUGCAGCACCUAUAGCAGCAACCUCCACCACCCCCACCACUUGUUCAUGUGAGAGAUAAGCGUGGGGAAUUCAUGAAGGGAAGACCUCCGGUAUUUACAUACUCAGCUGAUCCUAUGGAGGCAGAUGAUUGGCUUCGUGCUGUAGAGAGACAACUGAACAUAGCACAAUGCAAUAACAUGGAGAAGUUAUUGUAUGCUUCUGGACAACUUCAGGGAGCAGCUCAGACCUGAUGGGAGUCAUAUGAAGCUGCUCGUCCCAACAAUGCUCCUCCAAUCACUUAGUUGGAAUUUUGCAGAGACUUUAGAGCAUGACAUAUAAAUGAAGGAAUGAUGGAGCUCAAGCAGGAGGAAUUCAGAUCUCUCAGGAUGAGUUCUAUGACUGUGGCUGAGUAUCAUGACAUGUUUGAGCAAUUGGCCCACUAUGCCCCAAAUAAAGUCAGAGAAGAUGCUGAUAAACAACGUCUCUUUAUGAAAGGUCUUUACUAUGAACUCAGGUUGCAACUGGCUGGAAACACUUAUCCUACUUUCCAGGCUCUGGUGAAUCAUGCUAUUGUGUUGGACAACAUGCGCAAAGGCCAGGACAAGAAGAGAAGAAUGCUAGCACAAGGUUCUGGUGGCAACAACCGCCAACGUUUCAGUUCUCAGCAGGGUAAUCAACAGAGGUUUCAGGGACCGAUUAGUCAGUGGGACCGCAACCAACCACCUCAGCGUAAUCCUAAUCAACAGCAGGGUGGUCAGUAGACUCCCCGCUCAGGAAAUUCAAAUACCACCUAUUUGAAGAGAAGUGUUCCCAAUACCCCUACUAGAUGCUUUCGCUGUGGGAAGGAAGCACAUAUGUCAUAUGAUUGCCCGGAGAGGUUCAACCAAUAGAACAACAAUCAAAAGUCUAAUUCUUAUAGAGCAAAGGUGAACCAUGUGGCUGCAGAGACAGUUCAGGAGGGACCAGAGAUUAUGAUGGGUACGUUCAGUAUCAACUCUAUCCCCGCUACAAUUUUAUUUGAUUCUGGAGCUUCACAUACAUUUAUCUCAUAAGCAUUUGUUAGAGUUCAUAGCAUUCCACUAGUUGCCAUGAAAACCCAUAUGCUAGUAAACUCACCGGAAGGGACUAUACCAGUUUCUUAUUGUUGCCUCUCAGCAAGUCUUUCUUUAAGGGGGUAGAUUUCCCUGUCAGUCCUAUGGGUAUGAGAACUUCUGGCAUAUAUGUGAUCUUGGGUUUGGAUUGGAUGAAGAAAUAUACUACGAAGAUUAAGUGCAAAGAGAAAGUAGUAGUUGUGACAACACCAAAGCGUGAGAGAAUCAGUGUUGAUGUAGCAGUACAGGCUCCACCCACAGCUACAGUGAACCAGCUCGAUGAUGAUGUUGAUCUUCACGACUGCGUAGUGAAUAAGUUUCCAGAUGAAUUUUUAGAUAAGUUGCCAGGUCUGCCACCUGACUAGAGACAUUGAAUUUAUUAUUAACAAAUUACAACCUGGUACUGCACCUAUAACUAAAAGACCUUUUAGAAUGGGGAUAAAUGAGUUAGGAUAACUUAAGAGACAAACAAAGGGAGUUACCAAGAGUUGGAUCUUUAGAAUGAGCAAAGUGCAAUGGAAUCAAUAUUCUGAAGCAGAAGCAACUAGAGAAAGAGAGGAUGAUUUGAGAGAGUCAUAUCCACAAUUGUUUGUUUAUGCACUGCUUAAUCACGAGGACGAGGACGAGAUUCUUUUAAGGGGGGUAGAAUUUGUAACACUCAAAAACCUGUUUUAAAUUAAUAGGAAUUAAUUUGAUUUAAUUAAGUAUUUUUGUGAGCAUUUAAAUUUAGCACUUAAAUAAUUUUUGUGGAAAAUAAAAUUCAUCGUAAGUUUAGUAAACUUGAUUGUGUGUUCAUGCUGGCCAUGGUUUAUUUUGUGAUGAAUGUUUUGUUUGAGAAUUAAAGGAACUCAAAACUAUUUUGAAAAAGAUUUGGAAAGGAAAAGAAAAAAAAAGAAAAACCACCAGCCCUGGUUUCGGCUGGCAGAGGCCCAGCCUUUCUCCCCCUCCUCGCGCUGCCCACUCCCUCUACCUCCCCCCUGGCCCCUUUCUCUCCUCCCGCCCCGGCCCAACCUGCGGCCCAGCCAACCAGGCCAAGGCCCAGGCGCGCGCGUCUCCCUUCCCCUCUUCUUCGGCUGACCAGCAGGCCCCACUUCUCUCUUGCUGACGGGGCGACCCCAGCUGGCGGCGCCCGUCAUCUUCUUCGGCGUGACCGGGAAGGACUCCUUCCUUCCACGCCAAAUCCAGUCCCUAGGAACUGUGAUUUCGUUACCUUUUUGCAAACCGAGCGCUAUAAAGUGUUUGCCCCUCAAUCCCGUAGCUUUCCUUCGCAUCUCCGCGUGGAUUAGCAACCCUAGCCGCCGUUUUCUUCAAAUUCGGGAGCUUGCCAAGCUUGGAGCUCAUCUGCUGCCAUCGCGCCCAAUUCCUACUCCCUAUCUGUCGGGUCCAAGAGCCUAGGUGAGUUCGGCGUAAGUUUCUCCACCGCCUGGUGGUUUUGUUUCCUAUUUUCGUGCUUGGGACCCAAGAACGGUGAGCUCCGGGGAGCCUGUCCAUGGCGCCGCCACGCCGUGCCUGGUCUCCGGCGGCCGGCCGCCAGUGGCUUCCCCCUGGCAAACGUGGACCGUCAGCUCGAAGAUGAAGGGAUAGGAUUAGAAGAUACCUCUUCGGAGUGAAUUUUUCUAAAGGGUCCUUGGACUUUUCCUGGAAUCAACCCACGGUCCAUGGUGUAUUUAUGGUUUUACGCUUUUCUGUUUGGAAGGUGUAUUCCUAUCGGUUGAUUUUAAAAUACGCUUUUAGAUAUAUAUAGAAUUGCCAUUGAAUUUGUUUUGCUUAUAAAAUAUUCGUUUUAACUCCGUUUUUGUCUAUUCAAAUUUCGUUAGAUUCGUAUUUAUGAGCUCUACAUGUUAGAAGUAUUAAUUCUCUGUUUUGAAACUUUUAUUUUCGCAGUAGCUUUUAAUUAAUUUUUUAUCUAUAGGAAAUCUUAGAAGAUUCAUAACUUCUAUGUUUUAAUUCUGAUUUUCGUGAACUUUGCGUAGAGCAUUUUUAUAAACUUUUAUCUUUGAUUUCUCACUGUUGGUGUAAUGUUUUAAUUAUAGCUUGUUUGCUUUGUGUAUGAUUGUCUACAUUGGUUUGCGUGUUGUUGAUUGAUGUUUGGGAAUAGACGGUGAGCCUUACGUUGGUGAGCAAGACCAAGCUUUUGACGACCAGUAGGAGGCUCAGGAGAGCUUUGAUCAAGGCAAGUAUAUCUUGGAAUCAUCCCUGUUACCUAUACACUUAUAAAUACACAUAUAUAUCAUAUGCAUGUUUUUACCUUGUCGACCAUAGCAAAAUCAUAGAUGUUUGUUACCUGGAUUCCUUGCUACCUACUUGAUAUGCAUUUGGUACAGUUUUGCUAGUGCUUGAUAUAAUCCAUGAUCUUGUAAGAUGAUUAAUAGCUAUGCAAUGAACAUAAAAGGAUGACAAAUAACUAUAUGAGAUCUUGUAUGUACGUGAUCACCCGGGAUAACAGUGCAACCAUGAGGGCUAUAAUGGCUCAGGCUUUAGCUCAGUAUGAAGACCUUUUCUAGCUUGUUAGAGGUUACCCGUAAGGGCGCUAGAGGGGCUUGCCAACACGGGUAUAGUGCGAGCCUCUGUCCUUAUGUGUAUAGGUUGUGCGUCAUUGUGCCAUUUGAAAAGGGGGCAUCUAUAUCUGCUCGCCCAUGAAACCUUGCGGCCCUAACAUGUUAGAUGAACUUUUGAAAGGCUUCAUAUUGAUCCCUGCCGACCUUCCUUGUUAGUGGGUUAAGAGGUCGUAGGGCCUCGGGCGAAAGGGUAAAUCAUGACUCAUGGGUAAAGAUGUACAACCUCUGCAGAGUAUGAAAAAUUAGUAUAUUAGCCGAGAUCACGGUUAGGAGCGGCCUUGGGGACAUCUACAUUAUUAUUAUUAUGUUCAUUUGAUUAUCGUUUAUGCUAUGAGUUAGUUAUGCAUACAAUUGAUCAUGUGAUUAUUGGAUUAUUUAUGCUACCUUGACAUUUACUAUUUAAUUAUGAACAUGCUAUCCACUAUUAAAAGCUAAAUGCAGUCAAAUCAGUGUCAGCUAUUUGAGCCUCAUGAACCCCUGGUUAUACUUUUUGAGUACGAUAUGUGCUCUUGCAAUUUCCCAACACCCCAGGUUAUGCAAAUGAUGAUGUUUGGAAUGAGGACUACCGUUAUGAGUACUAGGCUUGGAGUCAACCACUCAACAGUGUCCCUGUGUGGAGCUUCCGUCGAGAGCGUUGUUCAUUCUUGUUCUCUUUAUUGUAUAAGACUAUGUGAUUUAUUAUGUUCCGCUAUGUAAUAAACACUGCAAUGGUACAUUUGAGAUUUGUCUAUUUAUGUGUGCGACUGUUUUUGUGGCACAUAUGAGUCUUUUAAGCAUCCUAUUUUUUUCUUAAAAUAUGGGUGUGACACUAAGGUUACCUCAGACGAUGAACCCACUGAGUAAGUGUUCUCCUCUAUCUAAGUCCUAUCGAUAGACUUUAAAUUCUAUACCCUAGCCAUAAGGUUAGAAUGGUAGUUAUCUCUUUAAAUGCAUUUGUAAUUUGUUUAGUAGCAUAAUUUUGUUUACACACUAAAAGAUAUAAAUACAAGAAAAAUAUUUACUGCAUUACUCAUUGCAUCACAAGCCCCAUGUGGAUACCCUAUGGUAUUUUCUAAAGAAACAUCCGCUGCGGUUGUAUGAAAAUGACAAAAAUAUUGCAUUUAAAUUCCUACAUCAUAAAUAGAAAAUUAAAAAAAAAAUAAGAGAAAAUUGAAAUCCUGUUUAAAUUGGACAACAUUAAAGCUAGCUCUUAAAGGUGAUCAAUUACUCUAUGACUAACCGCUAACCUAUUAUUAAAUUCGAGCCUUGAGUUUUGGUUUUCUUUUUGAAGUGUAAUUAUGCAGGAACAACAUUAUGACAAGGAGAGAGUCUAUUAGUGGCACCUACCUGGAGCGCUGCCGGUUAGCUCACUCUAAGGAUCAUCAACACCAACUAUUGCAAACAUCUAGUUUGGGGGAGGAGCAUCCCCUAGUUAUUAGGUAACUAUACCUAGGCGAUUAUUGAGUCUAUUUUAUAUAGUCAUAAAAUACCAAAAAUAUAUGGGCACAUGAAGGUCCACGUCUUUAAGUCUUGUGAGUCCAAUAUAAAUAAAAAGAUAAAUAAUAAUUUAAAUUAAAACAAAAUACUUAUCUAUAUAUUAAGGUGUGAUCAUAGAGUGUGUCUACAGUCAGUCUAGUUUAGAGUCAAAUAAAAAUUAAAGAAUACUAAAGUUUGUCUUGGAGAUGAUGAAUAGUUGCUCUACAGUACUUUCUUUCAAGUGCCUAGUUUUCAACCAUGAAUUGUCCUG
rnacentral:lncRNA from 1 species